GACGGAAGGUGCAAGCGUUGCUCGGAAUCGCUGGGCGUAAAGGGUGCGUAGGCGGCUUGGUAGGUCUGGUGUGAAAGCCCCGGGCUCAGCCCGGGAAGGGCACUAGAAACUGCCAAGCUAGAGUGCCGGAGGGGAGAGUGGAAUUCCUGGUGUAGCGGUGAAAUGCGUAGAGAUCAGGAGGAAUACCGGUGGCGAAAGCGACUCUCUGGACGGCAACUGACGCUGAGGCACGAAAGCGUGGGGAGCAAACAGG
rnacentral:rRNA from 1 species